AUGGCUGAAGGGGGCCCUGAGGUGGGGGGUGGCAUCCCUGAAGUGGGUGGGAACAGACCCAGCCUCCAGACUGAGAAAAUUGUCCAAAGAGUGUGCAUUGGAGGAAAGGCCUCCGUGCUGACCUCUUCCUCCAUAUCUCCCACUGUAGCAUGUCCGUGCGAGGUAGGACCAUUUGUCCUCAUCUUCCCUCCAAAACCAAAGGACACGCUCAUGAUCUCCCAAGAACCAAAGGUCACGUGUGUGGUGGGAGACGUGAGCCAGGAUAACCCUGAGGUUGAGGUCACCUGGUUCAUGGACAAUGUGGAGGUACAAGGGGCCCAGACUCAGGCCCCGGAAGAGCAGUACAACAGCACAUUCCGUGUGGUCAGCGUCCUGCCCAUCCUGCACCAGGACUGGCUGUCAGGAAAGGAGUUCAAGUGCAAGGUCAACAACAACGACCUCCCAGCCCCCAUCGAGAAAACCAUCACCAAAGUCAAAGGGCAAGCCCGUGAGCCACAAGUGUACACCUUGCCCCCACCAAGGGAGGAGUUGGCCAAGACAAAGGUCUCUCUGACCUGCCUGGUACAAGGAUUCUACCCUGAGGAUAUCUCUGUGGAAUGGGAGAGGAAUGGGAAGCCAGAGGAGAACUACAAGAACACCCCACCUGUCUUGGACUCGGAUGGGACCUUCUUCCUCUACAGCAAGCUACAAGUAGACAAGAAUGCGUGGCAGCAAGGAGACUCAUUCACCUGCUCGGUGAUGCAUGAGGCUCUGCACAACCACUUCACACAGAAGACCAUCUCCCGGUCUCCCGAUCUGGACCUCGAUGAGACCUGUGCUGAGGCCCAGGACGAGGAGCUGGACGGGCUGUGGACCACCAUCACCAUCUUCAUCACACUCUUCCUGCUCAGCGUGUGCUACAGCGCCACGGUCACACUCUUCAAGGUCAAGUGGAUCUUCUCCUCCGUGGUGGAGCUGAAGCAGACAAUCGCCCCCAACUACAGGAACAUGAUUGGGCCGGGGCCCUAGGACUGCCUGCUACAAGGGCCCACGGCUUUGCAUACCCUGAGGACACAGACCCUGCAGUCAAGGAGCCUGACAGCCAGGUCACACGUGUCCUGGGCCCUCACUGCCCUGUGACCCUGUGGCUCCUGAUCCUAUGCUCU